UUUCAUCCGGCCUUACAUGCAACCGGGGAUGUCGCUACGCCGUCGCAGGAUUCAUGCUCAGUAACCCACCGUGCAGGAACAAAUAUUAUUUCUUUUCAUUUUGCAACCUAGUAUCAUUGUCGACAGAUCGAAAUAUUCCUUGGUACCGCCAGCGUCGUAUAGAUCAGCACAAUUGUUCCAACUUUGAUGACAAAUUUGCAAAACGAAUCGGAUCCCGGGCUACGCAGCACAGGGUCACGUGAACGCGAUAUUGCACUGCAUGCAACGAAUUUUUCGUGUGUCAAACAUGUCCGUACGUUGAAUUAUGUGACUGAAUGUUUUCCACAAGUGCAUAAAUGGUGUAACGCAUGACCCACUCGUGUCUCGCACUCAAAAAAAUGGGGCCGUGCAGUCGUGCUAGCGUUGCAUUACUUGUUGGACCGUGGUGUCGCUUGAGAGGGAGACAGUGUCUAUUUGAGCUCUCGGCAUUUCUAUCUGUGUCUCACCACAAAGACAGCCACAGCAGGAGAGGCUGUAGGGUCGCACAGACCCGACAGUAGACUGUAGUAGGAUACCUUUUUCACCGCGGUGGGAGUAGGUGAUAUUGCCCGUUGUGGUAUUGACCGUCCACAAAGCUCUUUGUCGCACGGCUCGACUCUUAUGCAAUCUGGUGCUUGUAUCAUGGUUGUAGUGCACUCGCAAGAUUCCUUUCUUGACAUCUGUUUGCGGUACUUUGAAAAUAAUAACAUACGAUAACCUCGCAACUUGUCCGCCGGACGCUGACUGUGCUACAACAUCGCAGAACGGGCGGUGAUGACUUCAGCGUUGAACCGGGGGUUGGCAACGUUGCGUGUCUAGCCUAAUCGCCAGUUGUAGCCUGUUUUUUUUUUGCGUAAAUCCCCCUUAUAAUUUAUUAUCUGUAGCUACACAAUUUUACGGAAAUUUCGUCAGCAAUGCGGUCAGAACUGAGCAGAGAAUACCGAUGAGUGUUUCAAAAAACAGAUCCAGUACUCAACGCGAAAAGCAAGGCAUUCGAUUUGCGAGGGGGCCUUGCGGGGCUCUGAAAGAGAUUAGACUUCUUGAAGAACCAUGCCAUUGGCGCACAACUACAGUUUCAGGCAAUCUCUGCAAAGCGGGCUUCCGUUACGGGUCACCCGACAAGGCCUUGAUAAUGCAAAUAUCCUGGGUUGGAUCCAACAGCGAACGGUUUUCCCAUCUAGAACUCCCCUAUAAAGGAAGUAUCGACCAUCACUCGCAGUGACGACAUUUUCUCAUCGGUUGGGCAGCCUGAACAAGAGGUUCGAAACAAGCAGUUCCGACUGUCUCGCAAUGCAUUCGCACACGCCGUUAUCCUUGUCAUAGUGACAGGUACAGCAGCAGUUGCGAAGCCUUAUGUGUGAAGAAGGUCAGUCAGGAGUGACCUUUGAAACGGGGAUUGAUCCGUAGCCUGUGGGGAAACUUUUUCUAAUAUAAGCCUUCAUUUUCCUCACGUUGCUCCGCUUUCUUCGAGAUUCAAAUUUGACUUUACACGAUGCCAUGAAUCCCUUUCGAGCGGGGACAUUCCUCCUGGCGUGCAGAGUAGCCUGUGUUCGAAGCCCUAGUCGGGUCAUGUGAGCGACACUAGUUGGAACAAUCUCUCCCCGCUGCAAGUCGUCGUGGCGGUGAAACCCUUUAGGAUGAGUUGAACUGUAUAUAGUGGGGGCACAGUGAUUGUAACAGACUGCCCGUGUCGAUGGCAUGGCUACUAUACGAUGAAAAUGUCUGUAACAAGACUUUAUGAGUAGUUAUAGAAAAGAGCCUUUAAUGAAUCAGAUGGAACUGC
rnacentral:lncRNA from 1 species